GAACUGUGAUGAACACAAUUUAUCCCGAAUCUGAAUCGUUUGAUGAGACAAACUUACGGAUCUGACUGCUGAGUU